AAUGAACGCUGGCGGCAGGCCUAAAACAUGCAAGUCGAACGCCCUAGCAAUAGGGAGUGGCGCACGGGUGAGUAACAUGUGGGAAUAUGCCUUUUGGUACGGAACAACGUUUGGAAACGAACGCUAAUACCGUAUGGUCCCUCCGGGGUAAAGAUUUAUCGCCAAAAGAUGAGCCCGCGUUGGAUUAGCUAGUUGGUGGGGUAAAGGCCUACCAAGGCGACGAUCCAUAGCUGGUCUGAGAGGAUGAUCAGCCACAUUGGGACUGAGACACGGCCCAAACUCCUACGGGAGGCAGCAGUGGGGAAUAUUGGACAAUGGGCGCAAGCCUGAUCCAGCCAUGCCGCGUGAGUGAUGAAGGCCCUAGGGUUGUAAAGCUCUUUCAACGGUGAAGAUAAUGACGGUAACCGUAGAAGAAGCCCCGGCUAACUUCGUGCCAGCAGCCGCCGUAAUAC
rnacentral:rRNA from 1 species